AGAGUUUGAUCCUGGCUCAGGAUGAACGCUAGCGGCAGGCCUAACACAUGCAAGUCGAGGGGUAAGGAGAGCUUGCUCUCCCUAGACCGGCGUACGGGUGCGUAACACGUGUACAAUCUACCUUUUACUAAGGGAUAGCCCGAAGAAAUUUGGAUUAAUACCUUAUAGUAUUAUUUUAUGGCAUCAUUAAAUAAUUAAAGCUACGGUGGUAAAAGAUGAGUACGCGUCCCAUUAGCUAGUUGGAGUGGUAACGGCACACCAAGGCUACGAUGGGUAGGGGUUCUGAGAGGGAUGUCCCCCACACUGGUACUGAGACACGGACCAAACUCCUACGGGAGGCAGCAGUGAGGAAUAUUGGACAAUGGUCGGAAGACUGAUCCAGCCAUGCCGCGUGCAGGAUGACGGCCUUAUGGGUUGUAAACUGCUUUUAUACAGGAAGAAUAAGGUCUACAAGUAGAUUGAUGACGGUACUGUAUGAAUAAGCAUCGGCUAACUCCGUGCCAGCAGCCGCGGUAAUACGGAGGAUGCGAGCGUUAUCCGGAAUCAUUGGGUUUAAAGGGUCCGUAGGCGGGCGUAUAAGUCAAAGGUGAAAGCACUGAGCUCAACUGAGUAACUGCCUUUGAAACUGUAUGUCUUGAAUAGUUGUGAAGUAGCUGGAAUGUGUAGUGUAGCGGUGAAAUGCAUAGAUAUUACACAGAACACCGAUUGCGAAGGCAUGUUACUAACGACCGAUUGACGCUGAUGGACGAAAGCGUGGGGAGCGAACAGGAUUAGAUACCCUGGUAGUCCACGCUGUAAACGAUGGAUACUAGCUGUUUGGUUUUCGGACUGAGUGGCUAAGCGAAAGUGAUAAGUAUCCCACCUGGGGAGUACGCACGCAAGUGUGAAACUCAAAGGAAUUGACGGGGGCCCGCACAAGCGGUGGAGCAUGUGGUUUAUUCGAUGAUACGC
rnacentral:rRNA from 1 species